rnacentral:rRNA from 1 species
AUGGCUCCUGAAGACGCUGACAGGUAUGAAUGUUUAGUUGCUCAACGUGUUUUGAGUGUGCAGGUCACACAAGCUGAGCAAAAUCAGAGGCACAAUUUGUUCCAUACCAAGGGAGUUGUGAAGGAACGUUCUGUGCGCGUCAUCAUCGACGGAGGGAGCUGCAACAACUUGGCUAGCAUGGAGAUGGUGGAGAAGCUUUCUCUCACCACAAGACCACAUCCACAUCCUUACUACAUCCAAUGGUUCAACAACAGCGGCAAGGUUAAGGUAACACGUACUGUUCGUGUGCAUUUUAGUAUCUCUACAUAUGCUGAUUAUGUUGAUUGUGAUGUGGUACCUAUGCAAGCAUGUUCCAUAUUACUUGGUAGACCAUGGCAAUUUGAUAAAAAUUCUGUACACCAUGGUAGAAACAAUCACUAUACUCUUGUUCAUAAGGAUAAAAAUAUUACUUUGCUUCCUAUGACUCCUGAUUCCAUUUUGAAAGAUGAUAUUAAUAGAGCUAAUAAAGCAAAACAGGAGACGAAUAAGAGUGAAAAUCAGAUUGUGGCAAAAGAAUUUGAGCAACAAAUGAAGCCUAAUAAUAAACCAUCUAGUGUUGCUUCUGAAAUUAAAUUGAAAAGUGCAUGUUUAUUUGCCACCAAAUCUGAUAUUGAUGAGCUAGAUUUCAGCAAAUCUGUUUGCUAUGCUUUUGUGUGCAAAGAGGCAUUAUUUUCAUUCGAGGACGUGCCUUCCUCUUUGCCUCCUGCUGUCACUAACAUUUUGCAGGAGUUCGCUGACGUCUUUCCACAAGACGUGCCACCGGGAUUACCACCUAUUCGAGGGAUUGAGCAUCAGAUUGACUUAAUUCCCGGUGCUUCACUGCCAAACCGUGCACCAUACCGUACCAAUCCAGAGGAGACGAAGGAGAUUAUGCGCCAAGUACAAGAGCUUCUCGACAAAGGUUAUAUACGCGAAUCCCUUAGUCCUUGUGCUGUUCCUAUUAUUCUAGUGCCGAAAAAGGAUGGUACAUCACGUAUGUGUGUUGAUUGUAGAGGCAUUAAUAAUAUUACUAUUCGUUAUCGUCAUCCUAUUCCUAGGCUAGAUGAUAUGGUUGAUGAAUUGAGUGGCUCUACAAUAUUCUCCAAAGUUGAUUUGCGUAGUGGCUACCAUCAAAUUCGUAUGAAAUUGGGAGAUGAAUGGAAAACAGCAUUUAAAACUAAGUUUGGAUUAUAUGAGUGGUUAGUCAUGCCUUUUGGGUUAUCUAAUGCACCUAGUACUUUCAUGAGAUUAAUGAACGAAGUUUUACGUGCUUUCAUUGGAUGA